rnacentral:lncRNA from 1 species
AUUGCUCAACCAUAAAAAUAAAGAUAAAAACUGGAGAAAAAUAUUGUAUAAUUCCACGGUAAGAACUAACCCGAAAAUACUAAAAUGCGAUGGCUUUGAGAAUCUUCAAAGCUAAUUUAGAAUCUCCUCAUUCCUUAGUAGUAAAGGUUACAAGCGUUGCACAUGCAUUCGACUAGUCACAAAAUAGCCACAUUAUGCUGCAAAAACUAAUUAAAUGAUCUUCAAUGAAGGGAGAAUAUUCCAUCAAACAUACCUGCCGAUGGCAGCCAUUGGAGUAGCAUCAUAGUAGUAGUUUGAGUUGUAGGAAGAAUAUUCCGGCAAUGCCCUCCUUAACGGAGAGUGUUGGUAUGAAUUGUGCCAUAUGCCUCCUAGCAAAGCUGUCCGGUGCCC